AAGUCGUAACAAGGUUUCCGUAGGUGAACCUGCGGAAGGAUCAUUACUGAGUUAGGGUUCUUUCGAGCCCGAUCUCCAACCCUAUGUUAAACUACCUUUGUUGCUUUGGCAGGCCCGUUCUUAACGGGACCGCCGGAGGUGUUUAGUCACCUCUGGCCCGUGCCUGCCAGUAGCCUACACAAAUUCUUUUACAAUUUUGUCUAAGUACUAAAUAUAAAUUUAAUCAAAA
rnacentral:misc_RNA from 1 species